AGCUCCAAUAGCGUAUAUUAAAGUUGUUGCAGUUAAAAAGCUCGUAGUUGGAUUUGUGGCUGUCGCAUGCGGCCCGCAUUCGUGCGGUGUUUGCUAGCGUCGCCAUCCUUGGGUGGAACCUGUGUGGCAUUAGGUUGUCGGCCGCUUCGCGCCCGUCGUUUACUGUGAAAAAAUUAGAGUGUUCAAAGCAGGCUUAGGCCGUUGGAUACAUUAGCAUGGAAUAAUGAGAUAGGGCCACGGCGGUCUAUUUUGUUGGUUUGCACGUUGUGGUAAUGAUUAACAGGAACGGUUGGGGGUAUUCGUAUUCAAUUGUCAGAGGUGAAAUUCUUGGAUUUGUGGAAGACGAACUACUGCGAAAGCAUUUACCAAGGAUGUUUUCAUUAAUCAAGAACGAAAGUAG
rnacentral:rRNA from 1 species